GUACUUACCUGGCAGGGGCAAUACCAUGAUCGAGGAGGUGGUUUGCCCAACGGAGGCUCAGCCAUUGCACUCGGGCUGUGCUGACCUUAUCGAAUUCUCCAAAUGCUGAGAGAGUCUGACUUCUAACCCUAAGGUUGGGGGUUCGAGUUUCGGGCCGGCCACG